AGGAUUAGAUACCCGGGUAGUCCCAGCUGUAAACGAUGCAGACUAGGUGUUUGGACGGCCACGUGCCGUUCUAGUGCCGCAGGGAAGCUGUUAAGUCUGCCGCCUGGGGAGUACGAUCGCAAGAUUGAAACUUAAAGGAGUUGGCGGGGGAGCACCACAAGGGGUGAAGCUUGCGGUUUAAUUGGAGUCAACGCCGGAAAUCUCACCGGGAGCGACAGCAGUAUGAAAGCCAGAUUGAAGGUCUUGCUAGACGAGCUGAGAGGAGGUGCAUGGCCGUCGCCAGUUCGUGCCGUGAGGUGUCCUGUUAAGUCAGGCAACGAUCGAGACCCGCGUCCUCUGUUGCAACCAGCUUUGAGCUGGGCACACUGAGGAGACCGCCACUGAUAAAGUGGAGGAAGGAGCGGGCCACGGCAGGUCAGUAUGCCCCGAAUCUCCCGGGCCACACGCGAGCUGCAAUGGCAAGUACAAUGGGUUCCGACCUCGAAAGGGGGAGGCAAUCUCGAAAGCUUGCCGUAGUUGGAAUUGAGGGUUGAAACCCACCCUCAUGAACAUGGAAUCCCUAGUAAUCGCGUGUCAUUAGCGCGCGGUGAAUACGUCCCUGCUCCUUGCACACACCGCCCGUCGUUCCAUCCGAGUGACUCUUGGGUGAGGUACCGUCUAAUUGGCGGCAUCGAAUCUAAGUUUCACAAGGAGGGAAAAGUCGUAACAAG
rnacentral:rRNA from 1 species